rnacentral:lncRNA from 1 species
GUUUUUCAUAAAGCCGACCUUAGGUAGGGCUACCAGGCCCUCUAGCUUCAGCUUUCUAGGUAGUUGAGACCAUAUUUCAGCUUCCCUAGUUCCUACUUCAGACAUCAUUCACAGGAGGGCAAUGAGCGACUCCAUUUUUAGAAAGGUGCCAGAGUGCUUCUGCCGCCUGAACUGACACCAGCACCAUGAGCCACACACAGCAGCAUGUGACAUUUUUCAGAACACCCCUGGGUACUUGAUGUCGGGGCAGUGGGCAGUCCCCUGGGGCAACCGGUGACUGACAGACUCCUCAGCUGCCCGUUUUCAAGGCAGAACUAGGAAACAGUGUCCCCGGCACCCACGGUAAAGACUCGAUAAAUAGAGAGAGAGAGAUGCUGGAUGGCAACACCUACAACAGAGCAGGUACAGAGCGGGCACAUAAGAAAAAACAAGGAUCUUCUAAAGGAGCCAGGACCCUGAACCAACUUCCCCGGCGUCUCUCAGCCCAGCCCGAGGCACCCUCGAUGGAGAACCCGGCAUGCCUCACAUCUUCGGAGAAGUCACACGGGGGAGUGGCAUGCAUGAUGAUGUCACCAAAGCAGAAGCCACCCAAAGGUCCCCCGCGGGGUCUCUCGCGCCUCCCUUUGGUAGAAGCAUUUGGUUUUCCCUCCAAGAACACCCCCGAAACCCAUGAGUGGGGCCUGACAAGGAAGGUACUCCAAUCCAUCACCCCUAGCCCUUUGCGAGGGAUGGACGCUGACCAAAAUGGGCCAAGCAAACACUCCUUCCACAAUUUGCAUCUUAAUGGCAAGGACUCACAGAUGGAACAAGGCUGCAGUUGAGACAUGAAUGGCUUUAGGACAGCACCUUCACGAGGGCACUGCUGGGUAGCUGCCUGGAGCUUUCCUGCUCCUAGGUCUCCCAAGGCCAGCUUGUUCUAGUUCUCCAGAACCUUCUAGAGGAUGUUCGUUCGGUGGGUCACCCUGUUACCGUCAAUCGCCACCACUUUUCUAUUUUCCUUUAAGUUAACCAGAGUCAAGUUUCUGUCGCUUUCAGAACUCAUCUCUCACGCUCGCACUGAAGUAAAGAGGCAGAAAGAGGGUCAUUGUGACUGGGAGGAAGGAAGCUAAUCGGGAAAGAGCUGGACUCUCCUUUGGGCCACAUAUAAAGCAGCACAGUUAGGUUUAGCCAGGUGAGAUUUAUUUCCGUUUUCUGCCUAGCUUCUCCGCUUUGAAGAGAAAGGGACCACAUCUGCCAUGUGAGCAUCCGUCACUCUGUGGGCUUCCUGUGAUGCAAAAUAUUUUCUAGAUUUUCACACCAUUUUUCUUCAGUGCUGCCUGCCGGCCACAUUCACCUUCACUCCCGCCCGCCCCAACCCCCACAGACACUCUGAGAAAC